GCUGAAUGUGGGGAUAAUUUAUCUCCGUGUUGAAGCUAACGCGUUAGCACUCCGCCUGGGGACUACGGUCGCAAGACUAAAACUCAAAGGAAUUGACGGGGACCCGCACAAGCGGUGGAGCAUGUGGUUUAAUUCGAUGCAACGCGAAAAACCUUACCACUCCUUGACAUGGAGAUUAGAUCCUUCUUAACGGAAGGGCGCAGUUCGGCUGGGUCUCGCACAGGUGCUGCAUGGCUGUCGUCAGCUCGUGUCGUGAGAUGUUGGGUUAAGUCCCGCAACGAGCGUAACCCUCAUCCUUAGUUGCCAGCGGAUAAUGCCGGGUACUUUAAGGAAACUGCCGGUGGUAAACCGGAGGAAGGUGGGGAUGAUGUCAAGUCAGCACGGCCCUUAUGGGGUGGGCUACACACGUGCUACAAUGGUGACUACAAUAGGUUGCAACGCCGCAAGGCUGAGCUAAUCCAUAAAAGUCAUCUCAGUUCGGAUUGUCCUCUGUAACUCGAGGGCAUGAAGUCGGAAUCGCUAGUAAUCGUGGAUCAGCAUGCCACGGUGAAUACGUUCUCGGGUCUUGUACACACUGCCCGUCACGCCAUGGGAAUUGGCUUAACUCGAAGCUGGUGCGCUAACCGAAAGGAAGGCAGCCAU
rnacentral:rRNA from 1 species